rnacentral:lncRNA from 1 species
UAGGCAGGACCUACCCUUCACAAACCCAUGCUGGCUGGGACCAAUGACAUACAAUGAAUACAUUAAACUGUUUUUUUGUUUGUUUGUUUGUUUGUUUGUUUUUUAAGAUAUAAAGCUCUAUAUAACUUCUAAACAGGGCUAUUAUUUACGGUGUUUUCAUUUUUUAAAAUACCCUAUUGUCAGAAAAAUUUAGAGACAAAUAGCUGCAGUUCCAAACAAAUGAAAACUAGAUAUGAGCCACAAUGCUAAAAUAUAAAGAAAAUCUAGAUAAGCUAAUCUAUAGAAUUUGGAUGUAACUGGAUGUACAACUUACUCUGAAAAGUUAAUUGAACAGUUAGAAGCUGGUAGAAGCUACAUGGAAGGUGGCUACCUUCCAUGGGAAACUGAUUAAGUAAUAAAUUCAAGCAUCAUCAAUCUAUCAUCAAUCUAAAAUAAUGCACUUAAAAUUGUUUCUUUGCUUGUUACUGCAUUUCACUGUGUUGAAUCAUUAGUUUUUAUUAAAAUGUGACAAUGCUGCACAGUAAACUACUAACCAGUUUUUAACAGAGAGGUUUAAGAGACAAAAACCCAUAAAGUUAUCUUCCUGGAUGUUAUCUGGCCAUAAAUGAGAGUAUAUGUUAUGAUGAUCUGACUUGACUUUAUAUGCUAUGUAGGUGGAGAAAGGGAGCAGAAAUCAUAUCCAAGAAAGCUGAGAGAAAAUUGAGACAUCUGGAUGCAGCAAAAAAGCAACUCAAAAGACAAGUGUAGGAACAUCCUGGAUUUUGGAGAGAGGAGAGGCCCAAAGGGUGUUCAACUGGAAAACUGUCUAAUGAACCUGAAAUGCCCAAUGGUCCCACAGGAAUCCAUCAAUUAUUUUGAACAUAUGCAUUGGGCAUUCUGAACUCCUACUGUCUCUGUCGUUAUUCUGAACUUGUACUCACAAACACAUCGCUCUCCAAACCACUGCUAAGGACACCGUAACAUUGGCAUCCUCAAGUGGGAAUGUCCAACUGUUGCAGGGUAACUGACUUGCAAGCUUUGGUGUUUACCUGUAUUUGAGAUAAGUCACUCUACACAGUCUUAUAAUCAAAAAUUUGUAAGUGCAGCCUUGCUAAACAGAGCAUGUCACUGUAUUUGGAUCAGGUUCAGAGAACUGAGAAGGCUGGCAGACUUGAGGCCUAUACCUGAUUUUAUCACCAGUAAACUGCACCUAUAAACAACAUAGUUUAUCCCUUAAUUAUACUUCCAUAAUAAAUAAAUCUUCGGGGAACGGAGACA